UUCUCACCCCCAAAAUAGGUAUUUUUUGGAAGAAAACACCAGAAGUAAGUUAUUCUUACAAGAAACCAGAGUAAAGACUCGUCAUUCUAAGUCACUGUGAAGGUUCAGACCUCCUGAGCACUCAAGCUCCCUUUACCGGCGUGUCUCCUGUGCCGGCACUGUGCUGAGGGUCUUACCAUCUCCUUUAUUCUCGAAGGUUCGCAGACUCUGCCCUGAGCAGUAGCCCCUUAAUGGAGUCAAGUAAAAGCCCCAGUCACUCCUUCGGUCUGGUAGGAUGUUACGGGGAUGUCUGCCUGGCGCCGCUGAAGGAAACCUCAUUUAACCUGCUCCUCUUUCUUGUGAGCCGUGCUGGCUGGUCCCCACUGAGACCCUGUCACACCGCCGUCAUUCCUGUGCCGACACUGGACCAGUGUUGCCAUGAUGACCUAGACACCAGAGCACCCUUCUCCUUAGCCUUGCUCCUCCGUUGCCGACGGUGACAGGAAUGCAGUGAACAUGUAGUUUUUUCACAGCGAUGUCAAGUCUGUGCGGACCACGUCUCACCCCCAUCCUGUGGCCGAGCGCCCAGAGCAGGCCACCCUGACUUCUGUGCUGGCUUUUUGCCCUGUCCCUUCCUCCUGCUCUGCAGAACCUCGGAAGACAAAGGCCUCGGCAGGUUCACCCAGGCUGCAGGGUGGGACGCUGGCCCUGCCAGAAGAUGCCAAGAACAUCAUAGUUGCCUCCCCUGGAAGAGCCCACAGCCUUCUCUGAUCCCCACGGGCUCCCCUCCCUCCCACAGCCAAGGUCGCGUUGGGUAUGCAGUACCUUCCGAGGACGAAUUUUCUCUUUGUUUUUUAAGUGCCUACACACGUUACAGACCUCUGGGACCUGCCAGAGAGUCAGCUCGUGCCCUGCCCCUCCCUCCCGGACCCUGCACUUGGCCCUGCCAUGGGGGCGGCCCCUCACCAGGGUACCCGGGUUCUGCAGGCGGAGCAGCAGUGAGGGCGGCACGCGGGGCGAGGUGGUCAUUGCCCAUCAGGCUGGCUUUGUCGCUCUUUCCUCUGCUGCUCCUUUAGGGGUGUUUCUGCUGAUGGGGGUCAUGGUCCUGUCAGUGAGACUGUUAAGGAGCUUUCUCAGCAAAGUCUGUAGCCGCCAAGUGAGGAAGACAGGAAAGCGAGGCAGUCUCAGAGCAGAAACCCGAGUGUCUGACAGCAGCCGGAAGGUGCAUCCAGACCCCAAAGGGCGAAGGAUGAGAUAGUCACAGUUAAGAACAGGAUGAUUCAUUUGCCAUCAUUAGUCACGGGACCCCUGGCUGCCCGACCUCGUCCUCUUCCUAGAUUGGAGUGAUCAGGGGUCUGCCCUCAGGGGCACAAAAAGGCUGUCGUUGGGAGGGGGGUGGGUGAAACACCAUCAAAAGUGCGUCUGUGCAAAUGUGUGAGAUUGUUUGCUUCUUUUUUAAAGUACCUUCAGUCUGACCUAAAUUUGGGGCCUUGAUCACGUGGUGUGGACGAGGUUGUUCUGUGACCACACUUGACAUCACACCACUAAGCAGUGCUCAGAUGAUUUGUUGGUGCAUUAGAAGGUUUUGCAGAAUGGAACAAUCCAUACCCAGGCACUUUAUUUUCAUGAGUAAUCCAGCAUUUUUGUUCAGACAGUGGAACAGCCCACACACCGGGCCUUCCCAUUUAACCCAUGCGGGCGUUUGCCAGAGGAACCCAGCUGGGUGGAGAGUGAGCAGGUGGCCGGGACUGCCCCAUGGUGGCCAGUGAGGCUGUUCUGGACGUGCACUUGUCGGCUGCAGUUGUGGUUGAGACGAGAUGAACGUGAGCGAGGCUGAACCAGGGGAGCCGGCCUCGAGAAGCCGCCAGAGGCGGGAAGGGCUGGGAGCUCCCCGUCCUUGUGUGCCGCGGGGGCGGGAAGCAGCUGGCACAGCAAGUUCUAAAGUGGAAAGCGAGUUGCUGGUGGUAAUUUGAUCAAAUACCGCGGACCAGAUGCCUGGGGCUGCCUGAAAGCCCGCAGCAUCCACCAAACACUGGAGUGUCUGCGGGGGGCUCCCCCUGCCUUCGCCGCCUGUCUUAGUCUUCGUGUCUCCCCUUGGCGUCUCCGGUCUGUCCCCAUCUUGUGCACCAUGUGCCCCUGAGGGGAGUCGCACCUGUGUCUGAGUCUGCUGUAAGGUGUUCAGUCUACCUCAAGGGGUCAUCAUGGUCAGCUCUGUCCCAUAGCAGUCCUGCCGACGUCGCCACACACACUGGAAUGUAUAUCUGCCCCGGCCCCGCCUUCCCGUCAGUAACCUCCUGACCCCGUCUUUUCCUCUGUCACCACCAACUCCUAGUGCAAAUUGGAUGCUGCUUUAAAUGUGAAAACAAUUGUUCAAAAGCUAUAAAACCUGAAUGAAAGCUAAAGCUGAAUUUAUAAGCCUUGUUGCAUAUGAGCCAAAAGUGCAAAAAGCUCUAUAUAAUGAACUAACCUGCCACUCGUAUAAAUAUAAAUAUAUAUAAAUAUAUUAAAAUCAGACUGUUCUACAAAAUUGUGUAUUUGUAUUUUUGUGUACGUACAAUUUUCUGCUAA
rnacentral:lncRNA from 1 species